CAGUAGCCACGGGAAUACGUAGGUGGCAAGCGUUGUCCGGAAUUAUUGGGCGUAAAGCGCGCGCAGGCGGAUCGGUCAGUCUGUCUUAAAAGUUCGGGGCUUAACCCCGUGAGGGGAUGGAAACUGCUGAUCUAGAGUAUCGGAGAGGAAAGUGGAAUUCCUAGUGUAGCGGUGAAAUGCGUAGAUAUUAGGAAGAACACCAGUGGCGAAGGCGACUUUCUGGACGAAAACUGACGCUGAGGCGCGAAAGCCAGGGGAGCGAACGGGAUUAGAUACCCGCGUAGUCCCUGUCUCUUAUACA
rnacentral:rRNA from 1 species